rnacentral:rRNA from 1 species
CUGGUUGAUCCUGCCAGACCCGACUGCUAUCGGAUUGGGACUAAGCCAUGCGAGUCAACUCCGCAAGGGGUGGCGCACGGCUCAGUAACACGUAGUCAACCUACCCUGGGGACGGGGAUAACCUCGGGAAACUGAGGCUAAACCCCGAUGGGCCAUGGCUCCUGGAAUGGGCUAUGGCUGAAAUCUACAUGGCCCCAGGAUGGGACUGCGGCCGAUCAGGUUGUUGGUGGGGUAAUGGCCCACCAAGCCUAUAACCGGUGCGGGCUCUGAGAGGAGGAGCCCGGAGAUAGGCACUGAGACAAGGGCCCAGGUCCUAUGGGGCGCAGCAGGCGCGAAACCUCCGCAAUGGGCGAAAGCCCGACGGGGUCAGUCCGAGUGGUUCCCGCUGAGGGAACCUUUUGCCAGCUGUAAACAGGCUGGCGAAUAAGGGGUGGGCAAGUUUGGUGUCAGCCGCCGCGGUAAUACCAGCACCCCGAGUGGUCGGGACGAUUAUUGGGCCUAAAGCAUCCGUAGCCGGCCCAGUAAGUCCUCCGUUAAAUCCAACGGCUCAACCGUUGGGCUGCGGGGGAUACUGCUGGGCUAGGGGACGGGAGAGGCGAGGGGUAUUCUCGGGGUAGGGGUAAAAUCCACUGAUCCCGGGAGGACCACCAGUGGCGAAGGCGCCUCGCUAGAACGUGCCCGACGGUGAGGGAUGAAAGCUGGGGGAGCGAACCGGAUUAGAUACCCGGGUAGUCCCAGCCGUAAACGAUGUAGGCUCGGUGUUGGGCUGCCUCAGUGGCAGCCCAGUGCCGCAAGGAAGCCGUUAAGCCUACCGCCUGGGGAGUACGGCCGCAAGGCUGAAACUUAAAGGAAUUGGCGGGGGAGCACCAC